GCGUCCGGGGGCGUGGCGACUGCGCCUACGGGCGUGACUGACAGGAGGGGGGCUGCUGCUCUAGCAAGAAGGAGGUACGUCCGUGAAGGAGGUGGUGGCCCUCCCAGAUACACUCCUACCCGGUCACUUGGGAAGGCCCUCACCACAGUACCAGCAUAAUGGCGGAGGCAAUGAUGUCUGCUCACGUUUAGGAGUGACUGGCUGGACGCAGAGCACGCUGUCCAGGCACAGAGCGGGAACCUGAAGAAUCUGGGUUGAGAUGAAUUUGCUCAGACUCAGAAUCCACUCUCUGGACUGCCACCACUUGUGCCCAGCCCAGGCCGUGCCUUCUCUUGCAGUGGCUGCCCAGGAGCUGACCUGCUGGAGCCUGGCCCCAGCCCUCCAUAAGUUCCUGUGUGUCCAAGCCAACUGCAGGUAGGGAUUCUGGCUUCCAUGUGGCAGAAUGAACCUAUCUGAGCUCCCCAACAUCCCAGCAGCCAGGAUGAGGGCAAGGAAGGAUUUUGAAGAACGUGGGAUCCUGCUGAUGAAGAAACUGAGCCCCAGGGACUGACGUGCCCAGUGCCUCUCAGCUGCUGUGUGCCUCCUGCAUCUGCGCUCUCGGCUGCCGUGACGUUCUGCCUCUACCUUUGGAAACAUUGGCCUGAGAAUUCGUGGAUGCUCUGCUUGUAAGAGCCACAUGGCUGCCCAUUGGCAGGAGUGGCCCCAGCUCUCUGGGACAAUCUGACAGGCCCUCUGAUGGUUCUUCAGAAUGAGGUCGAACCACGUUGUUACUGCGUGCUUUCUAUUGAGACUAUGUAUCAACUGAAAAAAGUAAUUUGCCAUGAUGCACCCAAGCCUAUUUUUAUAAGAGAAAAAACAAAACUACACGCGUCUCACUAAGAACUGAAAGGGUUGGAAGAUUCCAGACAAAACUGCCACCUGUGACGAGAUUGCUUCUCAGAGGAAGGAUGGGAGUGAGAUGCAGAACAGCGCUGGCGAAGAGUAGGAAACUGUGAUAACUGUGUUCUUUCGGUAAUUAAACAGGAAAUGUGUUUUUAAAGAAAAGAUAUUAAAGAACUCAAAAGCUGUCCCGAGGGCCCCUCCCCAGGGGAGAACUAUCAGGAAGGGAAGGACUUGAGGGAUAACUAUAAUUUUUCUGUACUAGUAAUCUUUUGCAUCGAAGAGAUCUGGAUUUGAAGUCUAGUUCCAUCCCUGACCAGCUGUGGACAAGGGAGUGACCUCAGUUUCUUCAUCUGCAAAAUGGAAAUACAGGUUCAUCAUUCACAGGGUUGCUAUAGAAAUUCCAUGAGUUAAUUCGGGGAGCAUCCAGCGCGGUCCCUGGCACGUGGCAAGGGCUCCUGAAUGGUUGUCACAACACGGAAGAAGGUACAAGGUGCUGCCCCAGGGUCCUGGGGCUCAGAGGGGCCCAGGUGGGGGAGAGGGGGUGUGCCAGGGAACAAAGGCCCAGGAGAAGACACUCAGGAAGUUGGGCCUUCUCUCUGCCAUGACUUCAAGAAGGGGAACCAGGCUCAGGUUUGGCAGGGGGGCCCUGGCCACUAUGGUGAGUCCCACAGCCCGGCUUGAGGGCUGCUCUCCCACCACAUGGCAGCCAGUCUGCAGGGGAAUGGAGAAGUAAGAGCUGUUUCCUGGGGAGAGCCAGACAGGCCAUGCUGAGCGUGGAAAAACCCUCUGGUCAGCAGGACCUGGGGGUGGGAAGCCCUGGCUCCAGGACUGGCCACCUGUGCCUCUCUGCAGCCCAGGCCCUGCGCUCUGCCAGCUUGGACCCCCCCAGGCCAACUGAAGCUGGGCCCAGCCCGACCGGCCUCUCUGCUGCUCUGGCCUUUUGACAGCUCCAUCAUGUCCGCAGAGUGAGGCCUCAUCAGCUCCUUACCCUUCCAAGCCUGCCUCAGGGUGACAUCCACUCACCUCUUGGUGUGGGCGGAGGGGCACUUGGGGCUCAGCCUGGCCCUGUUACUCUCCUGGGCUGCUAGUGGGGCUGCCCUCCCUCCCCCAGCCUUGCCUCAAAUCCUGGGGCGGAACCAGCGCAUCCCCUCAGGGCAGACAGCAUUCCCAGUUUACAGCGCAGCCCAGUGGAGUCCCAUGGCGCAGCGAGGUGGGCACUGAGGGGGUGCCAGUGGCUCUCCUUUGGGAGCUCCUGCUGCAGGGACUGUGGUGGCUGAGGGCCUGGCUGCCAUCUCUCUGCAUCUCCCACCAUGUUCUACACCCAGGCCAGCUUCCCCCAGGCCCCUCCUACCCAAUACCUGAGAUGUCCACCUGCAUCCUGCCUGCUGUUUCCUCUUCCUGUUAUCCUUCCCUGGCAUUUCCCCCAAUAAAUCUCUUG